AGUUGGGGAGAGUAAAGUGAAAAGUUGAUUAGAAACUUGGAAAAGUGAGUUUUUAUGAAAGGGUGAAAAUAUGAAAAGAAACAAGAAAAAGAAAUCACCUUUGAAACCAUAGAGCAAAGAAAAAAAAGAAAAAAAGUAAAAAAAAGCAAAGAAAACGCUCAUGGUUGUGUGGAUGUGAAAAGAAAAAGAAAAAGAAAAAAAUAGGGAUCAAAGAA
rnacentral:lncRNA from 1 species